UCUGUCCAAAAAGAUAUCUUUCGCAAAGUUUGCUACUUGUGAAUCAUAGCGACGACCCCCCCCCCCCUGGGAGCGAUUAUGCCAUGAUUUUGCUCGUUUUAUGUCGACAUAAAAUCGUAAAUUUCAACCAAUGACAGUCCUGGAUUCGGAAUAUUCAACUAGGAUUGGAAAAUGGAAAUCAGUAGAACCUAACCUCUAAAAAAAUCUUAAUCCCAUAAAUAUAACUAAAAAGUGCCACAAUGUCAUACGAGUACAGAAACUUUUCACUGCAAAUAAAAUUACAACACAUAACCGCGGUGAAAAUAUGUCAGUUAUUAUGGCGACAGCCAGACGUCGUAGAAAAGGUCGAACGUCAUAUAUUCACAAAACGUGGACCAGAACGUGAAAUAAUUCACUACGUGAUUUCCAAAAAACUCCACGAAUUACUUCUACCAACAACUAUAAAAAAUGAUUUGAAAUUUUACCUAGAAUCAAUGGGAACUAGGAUGUUCGAAUGGUUGAAAUGUGAUUUACGUAUGCAGAGGAUAGAACCGGCAAUUGAUGAUGAAGAAGAAAUGUCAUACUUCAUCAACAAUUUUAGCUGGCACUAUUUUGGAUGCGUCGAUGGUAAAAGAAUGUUAGAAUCUUACGUGAGCAAAAAAGAAUCUAUAGACUUCUACACUUGGUGCCAGUUGUGCUACUACUGCUGUGAAUUCUAUAUCAGAAAAUUUUCCUCAACUGUCUCUUGGGAUGAUUGCGCAGGAAAUACCAGCAUAUUUCCUUUGUUCUGGCAUUACAAAAUCCAUGGAAAUUUUCCAAAUGAUCCUUCGGAUCGAUACGGCCUCCGUCGAUACUUUAACAUUGAUCAAAUGCUGAAUGAGAGAACUGUCACUCAAGCUGUAUUUAUUGAAAGUAUGAGAGUGGGAAAUAUGUGGAGUUGUGACUAUUGCUGGAAUCAAUUGGAGGAUGAGCAGACGAAUAGUGUAAUAUUCUCAGUACGAUAUACCGACCUGUUCAAUCUGACCCAGAACAGUCAUUCUGCAAGGAGUUUGCAUUUUUUUGGUCAAAUGAGCAAUGAACAACUGGAUCAUUUCAUGAGGACGUGUUUAAUGCGCUCACCUGUAUUUUUGAUGGAUUGGCCAUGGAUACUUUGCAUUCCCUCAUGGAAUGGUAUUUUUUCAUGCCUUGAUAAUCACGCUGUUGGUUCCUGGCAACUGGCAUUGGACAAUUUGAACAUCAUAAAUGAAAUGGGCGGAAAAAAAUAUAAGGGAAGUUUGUAUCUGCAAUAUCGUCGAGUUCUAGAAGAGCUGUGGGAGUCCAAUUUUGGGAGUACCUUUGCAUAUUUGGAACCAUCAGAUGCCAUCGAUUUAUCCCUGCGCAUUGUUCGUCUGGAGGACGUCAAACUCUGUCAAUUGAUUUUUGCGGGAGCCAGUGAGACGAGGAAACAGCUAUUGGCAAGAUUGAGAAGAUAUCUACAUUUUUCUGAGCUAGGAGGACUUGAGGAUGACUUUUGGAAGGCGUUUGUUGCAGAAAUACUGGUGAAUGAUGAUGAGAGGAAAUUCUUCACGGAUAUUUUUGAGUAGAUCUGGUUGAAUAUCAAAAUUUUCUUGUUCCUGAGGGCCAAGAUUGUGUGCGCAAAUUUGGAACCAUCAGAUGCCAUCGAUUUAUGCUUCCGUAUUGUUCGUUUGGAGGACGUCAAACUCUGUCAAUUGAUUUUUGCGGGAGACAGUGGAACGAGGAAACAGCUACUGGCAAGAAUGAAAAGUUACCUACAUUUUUCUGAGCUAGGAAACCUUGAGGAUGACUUUUAGAAGCCGUUUGUUGCAGAAAUACUGGUGAAUGAUGAUGAGAGGAAAUGCUUCAGGGAUCUUUUUGAGUAUAUCUGGUUGAAUAUCAAAGGCCAAGAUUGUAUGCGCAAAUUUGGAACCAUCAGAUGCCAUCGACUUAUGCCUCCGUAUUGUUCGUCUGGAGGACGUCAAACUAUGUUAAUUGAUUAUUGCGGUAGACAGUGAGACGAAGAAACAGCUAUUGGCAAGAUUGAAUAGAUAUCUCCAUUUUUCUGAGCUAGGAGGACUAGAGGAUUAAUUUUGGAAGGCGUUCGUUGCAGAAAUACUGGCGAAUGAUGAGAGGAAUUCUUCAGGGAUAUUUUUUAGUAGAUCUGCUUGAAUGUUAAAUCGGAUGAAAACGACGAUGAAAUACCAUUAGUCGGAAACGAAUCGACAGUUCUAAAUCCGACGAUUCAUCAACAUGUUCUCCAAGAACAGAAUCCGUCGUUGCCAACUCUACAGUCGAUGAACACUCAAGUAGAGAUAGUUACACAACAUUUUAUCUUGAAUAAAUUUAGCAUGAUUAGAAAAAACUUGGGAUACACAGCUGAGUGAUAGCUUAUCAGUAAUUUCGAUGAUUCAGCGAAACCAUCCUUGUUUCUCAUGAAUAAAUUGAAAAAGGGCGGAAAAGAGCAUGGAAAUGCGAUGAUAAAGGACCAUACGGAAUAUCGAUGAUUGACAGUAGAUUAUUAGUUGAUUGACAGUUAAAUUUUUUGUCUUGCGGAGUAAAAUUUUCCCUCAAAUUCCAAUUGUUAAUGAAUUGUCAGUCAAUUGUUAGACAAAAAUUAUUCGUCUCACCGUUUUAGUGCAUCCGAUAUUUGUCCGGAUAUGAAUGAAUAAUAAAUUGAUAGUGAAUUCUCGGUGACCCUCCGACAUUAGAAUGAUCGUCCUUUAAUAAUGUGAUAAUACUUUGUCAACAAAGUUCUUGGUCUAUGUGAUUUUAACUGACAAUUUCCAAUUAUUAAUGAAGUGAUAGUUCCCUAUUUCCGAAUUCGUUCAAUUUUCCGUUGAAAUUUUCGAAUGGUAUUUUACCGACCGUAAUUUGAGAGGUGAUAUAUUUUUAUAUACAACGUAUGCAUAUUCGCGGAAAUUGCACUUCAACUGUAAAAGGUGUAAAGCCAUAUAGUGGAAAUAAACCAUUCUUUCAUUCUUCAAUUUACCAUGUUAUCAAGUAGAUGGUACAAAAAUAUUGUAUUAUUAACAUUAUUUUAUAGAUAAAAGUUUUCAUAUGUAAUACUCAAGGUACUUUCGUUUAAAUUUCGUGAUACUCACUUCAGGGAAUCUAUCAUUAAUAAUAUUUAAGCGGACCAUAAUGUGGCCAUUUAUAUAGAAGAGUCAUUUUCGUAAUAUCUACAAUAGAUGCUAAACGUCUUGUUUCACCCGAGAUUAUAAAGAAUAAAUAUGGACAGAUUCCAUGCCAAAAACGUUAGUAAUACAUUGUUUUUGGGGUAUUCAUGCGUUUACGUAGUUACAUUUGUUUAUUCCUCUUUUUCGUUGGAUAGAGAAUAGACAAACGGAAAAAUGUACUUAUAUUGUCUGCAUGUGCUGUUAUUAAUAAAAAAAUCAUACAGAAAUGAA